rnacentral:miRNA from 1 species
UAUGUGUGUGUGUGUGUGUCUGUGUGCUGUGUGUACAACUUACACACACACACACACACACACACAAACUCAAGAGCCUCAUAU